rnacentral:tRNA from 1 species
GCGCCCGUAGCUCAGCUGGAUAGAGCACUGCCCUCCGAAGGCAGAGGUCUCAGGUUCAAACCCUGGUGGGCGCGCCA